GAGUAUUCUUCGAAGGAUUUUUUUGGCCAUUUUUUAUAUUCUUGGAUAUAAAAUUACCAUGAAAAAUACCAGGGAACCCGUAACCGUAAACUUGAGAGCUCUAGUCCAUGCUGGCAAAUAUGGUUCACGUUCCCUGGUCACCGGAUUGAUCCUGAAAGUUUUGACAGUAGCUUCAAACUCGGGUCGAGGCUCUUCGUCACCGUCGGCGUUCUGGAGAGAACUCCAAAGGAAUCAAACAGAAAGUGGACCAUUAUUUACUCACCCCAAAAUGACAUAAAAAUCGCGAAGAAGACAGUCGCUGGAUUAUCAAAGAGAUACGUCAGCCUGGAGAACAGACAAGAGUCUUUCAACCUUCGAUACGAACACGCUCUAUCGCACAACGGACACAGGGUGAUGUUACCUUCGUAAAGGAGAAACGAUUUUUCAUCAAUUUUUCAAUAUAAUCAAUCGCCACAAUAAAAAAUGCUGUUUAGCGAGACAGCUUCGAGGAUAAAAGAAAUCAAACAGCCGGAGUAUUUUUUCUGGAUUCUGCAUACUUCACUCGGUAAUUUUAUUACCGAUCAUUUGAUAGCAUUAAUCGCCAGGUAAUUCAAUUAUGCAAUAAUUCUUUGAGAGAAACCAUUGAAUCGUUGAAGAAAUUGUUCAUUUUUCUUCAAAAUUCAUAAACGAGUGAACAAAGAAAAAUGUACAGAAAUAAAAUCAAACAGAUAACAAAACAUUAAAAAGCCUCGGAGCUUACCAGCGAGUUUAAGAUCACAGAUUUCUUUGGUCGGUAUGUUGUCGGGACUGUCCAUGCUUCCCAGUCCAUAAAUGAAGCAGAGAACACCCACGAUUGCCGGUGGAUACAAAGCUUUCGUGUAAAAACCCAACCAGGCAUAAUACAACGCAACUUUUUCACCGAAAUAACGUCUUAUCAACCACAGGGGUUGUCUCUUGUACCUUCAACGAAUAAUCAUCGAAAAUUAUCAUAAACUUAUUGUACGAUCACUCAAUAGUAAAGCAUUUUUGUUGAAACCAUAGUUUGUUACAAGCUUUCAAUGGUUUCAAAAUCCCUCUAUUUUUUUCAAUCCGAGAAAUCGGAUGUUCAGAAAUAUUCAUGAGUGCUCAGCUAAGGUGAAAAAACUCAUUAUAGGCAGAGACAGGAAAACUCUUGAAUUAUUUUUCAAAUUGAUUUCUUUCAAAUGAUGUUUUAAUUUACGAGAAUGAUUAUGCUUGAUUAUUGGUACUUUUACAUUUUCGAAACAGUUGAAAUUUUCUUAGACUUCUGUUCAAUUGAGAAAAAAUGUUUGAACUUUGACCCAAUGGAAAUUUUGCAGCAGUCUUUUGCUUCGUUAGUUAUGUACUUGACUAAUCUCUUCUUUUUCUUACACAGUGAUAAAGUGGGAGAAAUUGAAUUUUACAAAAAUAGUCUACAUUUAUUGAGAGAUCAACAAUUACCACUGAGAUGGUCUCGCCCAGAUGAGGUAAAGUAAAUGCCUGUCGGUAAUAACCCCGUCUGAUCCAGGUCGGUCGUAAGGACCCUCGUGCAAUGGAAAACAAUCGAGAUAGCUGCCAUCAGCUAUCAAUCUUCUUACGCCAGCUUUUUCCGAAAUUUCGUCGUAUCUCGUUCUCGACAAUAUUUGCAUUACGAUGAGUGAUCUCUGGGCUGGUGUAUAGGCCGUUUCGCGGUCUUUCACGACGAAUCUAUCGAAAAAGAAUAAAAGAACGUUCGAUAUUGCAGCAGUGUCAUCGUCGCAAAAAAUUGAUCAAAUAUUGAAACUGGACGCGCAAUUACAGACUUCAUCGUUUAGGGAAUACCCUGAGAAAAGAAAUUUCUUGAUUCAAUGAAAUUUUUGUUGGAUCAAGGAAUCGUGACGAAAAAAAUGAAACUCGUUAAGUCAAUAAAAAUUCGGGUGAUCCUUAGUUUGCUGACUCAAACAAACAUUUCUCACCUCGACAAAAACGUUGAAUCAUCAAACAGUUUGUUGAAUCAACGAAUUUCAUUUUUUUCACUACGGUCUGUCGAUCCAACAAAGUUUUUUUGUAGAAUGUUGAUUCUACAUUACGCUUUACCUCGUUCUUAAGCUACAUUUCCAUGGCACACCCACGUUCGUUGGUAGAUUUUAAUCCUUAUUCACUUUUCUCUAAUACAAUUUUUCAUUUUUAUCAAAUUCCACAGAUUAGAGGGUCGAUGAGGAACAAUGAGAGAUCGAGAAGCCGAUUUCCACGCGCGAAAAAUAAACGGCCGUGCCCAAAAGAUAAAAUCCCAAUUACUCUGGAGGUCGUCUCACCAAUGUGACGAAUCACGACUAUAUUGCGAGCAGAGGAAAAAAUCGUUGGAUUAACCGCAGAUCCCGCAGCGUCUUGCCAAUGGUUUUCGGUUACCAUCGCAAUGUGUCAAAGAAUUGAACGCGCUAUUUUGACACAGAAUUGCACAUUUGGUAUGAUCGAGAGCCAGUAGUCGAACCAACGAAACUUUCCAAUGACAUCUCAACCCAACAAACCUACUUAUCACAGCUUUGAUUCGAAUGUUACAUAAGCUCGGGAAAGUUAUAGAAUAUGGAAAAGCGUGCGAGACAAUGAUCGAUGACCGCAAAUCGAUGGAAAAUGUCAUGUACCUCCACAUAUAUGAAGUAGACAUCCACCCGCGGUGAUGAAAAGUAGAUAUUUUCGAACGAUGCGACGCAAUGUUGAAAGGGUUUAGGUCAGACUCGUUAAAUAAUCGAUAUUUCACAACCUCGAUUCUAUAAAACGACAUUCUUAACAAACUUGAUCCAUUAUCUGACUCUCUUUAUUACUUCAACCUUUAUUCAACUUUUAUUAUCUAUUCUCGCAAAACUUAUAUUGUUCGUAUUUUCGCUCCCUCACUUCGUUCUCGUUUGCAUCAGUCCCACAUACCUUUGAGAGUCUACAUUCAAUCGACCCUUUCAUUCCCAACCUCUCGACAUUUCUCAAGUAUUCGAACCAACGAUCUUCAACUGAGAAUUCUCCUUCCUCUCUUUCAAUUUUUCAUUAAUUUAUUCAAAUUAGUUUCAUUUCGCGUUCCAAUCGGCUUGAAAUGCAAAACUUAUUUGUAAGUUUUUCCGAGAUCGUUUUGUUCUCUACUGCCUCGACUCUGUACCUUUUACUGUCAAUUGUGGCUUUUCGAUUUAUUUUUUAAAUUUGAAUUGAUCAAAAUUUUUUUUCAAUUUAUUUUAUCGCAUGGCAAUUAAUUUUAAAUGUUCUUAUCGAUUCGUCGCCAAUUUUCCUCACCACGUUUCAACGAAUUCUCGACUUAAUUUCGUGAGUUUUAGUCAUGUCGCGACGUAGAGCGUCUUUUAAACUUUUUAGUCUUCGACCUUCGCUCGUCAUUAGGUGAAUUCGAAAAAUGUAGUAUUAUGGAACUUUUGACUAGAAAAAUGAAAGUGGUGGAAUAAUUAAAAGCUCGAAUCCGAUAAAAGCGUCCUCCCGCCUUCAUCAUUAUUCAAAGUUCAAUUCGAAAAAGCGGUGCGAUGGAACUUUGAAUUAAAAAGAAAAAGGAACUGCGGGUGUAGAGGAAUAAUUAAAAUCUCAAGCCCGAUGAAAGCGUCCAAGCACAUUCAUCACUAAUUCCGAUACUGCGAAGUGCGGUUGAAUAACGAAGUUGUAGCCGGGAGUUUGGAGUAGCGAACAGCUGUUGUCUCGUGGUCAAGUGUAAUUCUAUAAAAGUAUAUCUGGCCACGCCCAGCGAGGUGUGAUAUGAAUAGACAAGGGAAAAGUGCAUUACGCGUAUAGACAUUGUUUCUGCAUUGAAAGGUCGAGUCGAGUUAUAGCUCGUGUCUCAAUCGACGCUUCGACAUUGUCCAUACGCAAGUAAGUUUACCGAUCGGUCUGCAGGGACUGGGCAUUCUCUAUGGGGAGUGUUGUCCCCGGAGAGUUUGUCAUCGAUCGCAAUUUCAGCGAACGGUAAAUACGAUUCAUCAUGAUUUAGUGGUUUUACUUUGAUGUUUUGAUUAGGACUUUGAUUGAUGACGAUUGGGUUGUUUGCGUUUUUUUCCUUAGACGAUUAUGAGCUCCUUAAUAAUUUGGAUCUCACGAAAAAGUAAACUCGACCGAACAAACGAAACGUAAUCGUCGUUGAAUGAGCGAAAUUCUUUGUUCUUCAAAGGAGGAAACUUUUUCGAGGAUCCUACUUCUCGAUCGUACCUUUCUUCUCGAUCACCGGAAUCUGUGCUGCAGUAAAAACUCGGCUCUUCAGGUUCCGAGGAUUGGCCGAUCGGGGGAAACCACUAAAAGUGAAAAAAACUGAGGAAACCAAACGUUUUUAUCAUUCGAAAGGCACAUUUUCUUGGCUGAUCUUGGAGACUUUUGGCCUCGAGCGAAUUUCACACGAUAAUUAUGAGCUGACGAAUGUUCAACUUGUGACGACACUUACCCAAGCUUUGACCGAUAUCGUGAUGAAUCGUUUCGUGUACAACUUUAGGUUCAUCAAUUCGGCGUACCGAAUUUUCACUUUCCAAGGAUGCACACACGAAAAGAGAGAGAGAGAGAGCCACGAGCGUUAAUACAAAACGAAAUUUCUGUGUAUUUUCGCGUGUGUCACGCUCUCGCGGUUUGAAUGAUUGGAUUGAUUCCGUGAUGGUGCUGUCCGGAGUCGGGAGCACGAUAUGAGCGUACCGGAAGAAGAGAGUUUCUGGAUCUGGUUCGUUUUGACUGAUGGAUCCGCCCGCAGUUCCAUUUUGCAUGUGUCCAUUUUUGGUUUCCGGAUCGCUGGGUUCGCCCGGCGUCGGUGUUUCCGGCAGCGAGGGAUGGUUAGCCUCGGAAGCUGCGUGAGUCAAUUUCGGACCUAUGAAUAGCGAGAAGCACAUUUCGAAGAGGCGAAAUUUCAAGGAGUUUCGAUCGGAAGUGAGGACGCGAAAAAACUUGGCGCCCUCCGAGUCUCACCAGCGCGCUUUUGACAUCGCACAAACUCAUCCGUCGACGAGGAAAUAUCGAAAAAAAAACUUUUCGUACAUGUGAUCGUAUAAACAUACAAAGGCUGCACUUUUCCUCCUCGCGUAUAUCGAACUUCUACAGGCUCUAGCUCGUCCUCAAUAAUUCAACUACGCCACUGUUCGAAGCCAAAGAGUAUUGCCAGAUUGACCAAAAGAUUAUGCGGUCGCUGUGGCAUAGCUAAUCCAACGUGUGUAGCAGCACUCCCAACGGAGGGUGCAUACUUCAUGAAUAAUCAGCCACAAUAACAUCCCUGUCAAGGCAAAUUCCAACUGACUGAUCGGUGUGCGAUUUGCUUUUUGUUAUUCUUCCUGCUAACUGGCUCUUUGAAGCGUUUUUGCUUUUAUUGCUGUUCUCGGGGCUGAUUUAGCGUGGAAUCAUUUGAAGAGUAGAUUUAUUAUUUGAAAUUUUGACGAAUGUUUCAGAAAUACUUAAAAACGAAUACGAAUUAUUGAUCCAGUAGGAAUAAAAAAAAUUUUCUCAGUGCGAGCGAGUGCUUGAACAUUUUCAUGAAUUCAUUCAAAUUGGGCACCGAGUUCUAUGUCGUAUAAUAUUUAUUCAUUCUUACGAACAUACGUACUCAUUUUUUAUGAAGCGAGAACUCGAUGAAAAUUAAUGUGUCAUGGCAAAACAAGCGCGAAUGAAAUCCUGCUGUGUACCAUAGUAAAUUUCUAAACACUUUGGCGGAUCCUUGUGUUCGAGCUCCUCAAAUUUACCUAUGCUCAACUGUAAAUUUCGAUUGUGAAAACAGUACUAACGACAGAAAAACGGCAUUAAUAAUUCUACUUUACAGUUCAUCAUCGAGUCCACAUAAAUUUUACAACGUUUCUUCGGUGAAGUACGUAGGAACAAAUAGCACAGUUUAAACCUUUGUCAGAGCAAAGUAUGCGAUUGAAAAGUUUUUAUUCGGAAUUUACUUGGAAAUUACAAUGUUUUUGGUAAAAAUCUCCAAAAUGGGCGAUAUAGCCAAUCCUAACACUAUGGUGAUAUGGUAAUUUUUACAAUUUUCUUCUCUCCGUGUAAAUAUUCAAGCGCAAAUGAAAUUUUGCUACGUACAUUUUCAAACAUUUCGACGGGUCGGUGAUACAUGUAUUCGAGCUCUUGAAAUUUUACUAUGCUCAACUGUAAAAUAAGCAAUUCAGAAAUCUUCAUAUGAAACGACACGAAAACUACAACGUUUUUGGUAAAAACCUCCAAAAUGGACGAUAUCGAAGCCUGAUACUAUGACGGCAUAGUAAUUCUUACUAUUUUUUUUCUCCGUGUGUAUAUAAAAAAUAAUUGGUUACUCAAACGUUGCUACUUUGGUGCGUUCAAGCGAUCAAGUGUGACAGCUUUCAUACGAAAAUUAAUUAUAAUUGUAGAAAAAGAAAAAGCAUUUACUAUUAUCGAAAGUACCCUCCUAGCUUCACCACGAAUCCAAUAAACAACGCUUUUUUUCUUUACUUCAAAAUAAUACAAAAGAAGUUGUGCAACGUGAUAAUUGAGGCCUCGCAAUUUACGUGAUCCGUCUUCCGGUCGAUUAGCCGACAUCAAAUACAUUGGCACGUCAGAUUUAUUGCAAACGAUAAAAAAAAUGAUGUUAUCUUUUAACUGAGCGAGGAUUAAGCAUCCGACUGUUAAAAUGUGUUGAUCCAACCGAUUUCUUCGUCGACUCAACCAAUCGUGGCAAACAAAUAAAUUUUUCGAUCCAAAAAACUUUUGGUGGUUGAACGAUAUUUUUUUCAGAAAUGGAAAUAAUGAUUCGAGCCAAAAAACUGAGUGCUCGAUUCGCCUGAAUUUUAAUUCGGGGUAACAAAUUUCAGUUUCUUCGCCACAAUUUAUUGAGCCAACAAUAUUUUUCACAAUUCAAACUUGCAAUAGUUAAAAUUGAGAAAAUUCAAAUUUCCAAUAGAAAUAAGCUCGAGGCUCGAUCGAAUAAUUGGACUUUAAUGAAAUUUGUGAACCCAACUCAGCGCGGCUUGAAACUAAGGAGAUUCGAAUCCCCAAACACACAAUAUUUCUUCCAUCUGGGCUUUUGCUAAAAGUGUGUCCUUCAUAAAAACAUCGUUCAGACGUGAUGUUUCAAUUUCUAGUACGACGAUCGAGUCAAUUUUUCUUAUUUGCGUGAGAAGACUCGUUAUGAGGAAAAUGAUUAAGCAGAGUACAUCGUAGGUCGCGUGACCGAAUGUAUUUUGUACUAUCUGAACAUUUUCACAUUCACGAUUAAAUUUUAUACGCAAGGGU